CGGACGGGUGAGUAACGCGUAGGUAUCUAUCCUUGGGUGGGGGGACGAAACCCGUGGGAAACUAACGGCUAAUACCGCAUGAUAACUGAGGUUCAAAGGCAUUCCGGGUGACUGGGAUGGUGCCUGGGGAGGAGCCUGCGUACGAUUAGCUAGUUGGUGGGGUAAAGGCCUACCAAGGCUACGAUCGUUAGCUGGUCUGAGAGGAUGAUCAGCCACAUUGGGACUGAGACACGGCCCAA
rnacentral:rRNA from 1 species